rnacentral:rRNA from 1 species
UACGGGGGGGGCAAGCGUUGUUCGGAAUUACUGGGCGUAAAGGGUUCGUAGGUGGCUCGCUAAGUCAGACGUGAAAUCCCUCAGCUUAACUGGGGAACUGCGUCUGAGACUGGCAAGCUCGAGUGCAGGAGAGGAACGCGGAAUUCCAGGUGUAGCGGUGAAAUGCGUAGAUAUCUGGAGGAACACCAAUAGCGAAGGCAGCUCGCUGGGACGGUACUGACGCUAAGGCGCGAAAGCGUGGGGAGCGAACAGG